rnacentral:rRNA from 1 species
GUGCCAGCAGCCGCGGUAAUACGUAGGGUGCAAGCGUUAAUCGGAAUUACUGGGCGUAAAGCGUGCGCAGGCGGUGAUGUAAGACAGGUGUGAAAUCCCCGGGCUUAACCUGGGAACUGCAUUUGUGACUGCAUCGCUGGAGUGCGGCAGAGGGGGAUGGAAUUCCGCGUGUAGCAGUGAAAUGCGUAGAUAUGCGGAGGAACACCAGUGGCGAAGGCGACUUCCUGGCCUGUAACUGACGCUGAGGCGCGAAAGCGUGGGGAGCAAACAGGAUUAGAUACCCUGGUAGUCCACGCCCUAAACGAUGUCAACUGGUUGUUGGUCCUUCACUGGAUCAGUAACGAAGCUAACGCGUGAAGUUGACCGCCUGGGGAGUACGGCCGCAAGGUUGAAACUCAAAUGAAUUGACGG